rnacentral:rRNA from 1 species
GACGAACGCUGGCGGCGUGCUUAAUACAUGCAAGUCGAACGGUGAAGCUCCAGCUUUCUGCAUUGGACCAGUGGCGAACGGGUGAGUAACACGUGAGCAACCUGCCCCAGACUGUGUAAUAAGCCCUGGAGACGCCGUCUAUUACUGGAUACGAGAUCUAGCCGCACGGUGAUGGUUUGUAAAGUUCGUCGGUUUGGGCUCGUUUGGCUGCAUAUCCGCUUGUUGGUGAAGUAAUGGCUCACAAGGGCUACGACGGGUAGCCGGCCUGAGAGGUCGACCGGCGACACUGGGACUGCGACACGGCGCAGACUGCUACGGGAGGCAGCAGUGGGAAAUAUUGCGGAAUGGGCGAACGCCUGAUGCGGCGACGCCGCGUGAGGGAUGACGGCCUUCGGGUUGUAAACCUCUUUCAGCAUGGAAGAAGCGAAAGUGACGGUACCUGCAGAAGAAGCACCGGCUAACUACGUG